UAGCACUUUGACCAUGCAAAUACUACGUUGCCAUAAUUCUCUCUCCUUUGCUCUAUUAUGUCUGUUAGUCUGAAACAGGACUUCGAGAUUUAUAGGUCUCUCAGUCACCCUUCUUUCCUGGAUGUCAGAGGAAUCAGGAAAUCAUGCUCGCCUGUGACAAAAGCUCACGGGUCAAUAUUAAAUACAGCUGAAGCCUUGACUCCCUUUUGGACUCUGUUAUUACAUCACUAGAAGAAAAGGUACCCCAGCUAGAAGUCAUGGCCUAAGGAUGCAUAAUUUGCAGCCCUCUGCCAGAGAGCUCAAAAAUACAGGUGCACAGAAUGUUCAUCAGUGUCCUGCUGUUGUGCAUAUUCCUAGGUUUCAACUGCUGCUGUGAUGCACAAAGUCUUUAGCAAUGAAGAGGCCUAGGAGAAUGUUAAAAAAAGCCCUAUACAAUCAGAGUGGUCUGUCUUCUAGCCAUGCCCCUGUCUUGGAGUUCUACAUUGUUCUGAGGGAUGCCUCAGAAGCCUUGGUAACAAGUCUGCUACAGUUCAUUACCAUGCACUCCGCUCCAUGCCUCAGCAGUUGUGUGCCCCAGAACGGUUGAUUUCUCACAGAUCUGACAUUCAGCCAAGACACCUGUUUUAAAUCUGAAGCUAGACCUGAUUAAUAAUGCCCCGGAAACCAUAGCUUUCCUAAUAGUUUGCUGAGUGUUUGCAUGAAGGAAGGCAUGAAUGCCAGAAACUCUGUGGGAACCAAAGCACAUAGCUGGAUUCUGGGCAUUACAGUCUGGCAGACACCACACAGCAUAAAAAUGACAAUGUUGCAGGAAAGUGAUGUACAUAAUAACAUACAGAGGUCAAGUUGAGGCAAGACUUUCAGCACUGUACAGUACACACAGAGAGAAACAGCCCUGUCAGCUUGCCUGUCCCUCCCGGACAGCUAAGAUGCCAAAGAAACACUGACACUUUGGGGUGCUCAUGAAUGCUCGAUACAGCAUUUUCACAGGAGGUGGAUCCAGACUCUGAAAGAAAUCUUCACAAGAGAAAAGAAUGUUGUUUAGCUUUGCCACUUAGCUAAAUAUAGGACUCCUAUCAGCAUUAGUUUCUCUUCAAAUACGUACUCCUUUCUCCUUUCAUUCUCAAGCACACCCAGACACACAAACAAAAACAAACGAGUUAUAAACUAAUCAAACUUGUUUUCUUCAGGUGGGAAAGGAAAAGAGAUUAAUAUUUUGAUUUCAAUUUCCAAAUCUCUGGGAGGCACUCAGAUAUUAUCUAUCACAGUGCUUCAAGCUCCUCAUCAUAAUGGUAUCAAGUGCCUCCCAAGCAAUUAAAAAGCAACAAACAAUUACAAAAAGUUCUCCCAUGACUUCUGUCUCCCAUUUCUGCUUAUGAACAAACAAAAUGGGUAGAAUUUUUAACUGAGUAGGGUUAAACUGUGAGGUUUCUGUGCAUAUGAAGAGCUAGGGAGAGAAACUCAGCCUAAAUUCAAUUUGGUUUCAAACCUGUAAGACCUAGGUCACUUCUUUCCCCUAACAUCUGAGAUAUAUUGUCUAAAUCUGCCCUCAGUAACUCCUACAGUCACAAGCUUCCUCUGUUUGGGUAGUUUCACUGUUCCAACAGAAAGCAAUGGACAUAAUCAGAGAUGAAGAGGUGGAUCCUAAAUUAUUUUGGCCAAUUCCAUGGAACUUUUCCAAAAAGCAAGCAAGAGUCCUCGAAGUGGGGUGUUGAAAUCCUGAUCCUAGUUGAAGUUAGCACCAAAACUACUAUCAGCUUUAAAAUUAUUUUAACCUCUGAUUUAUUGUAUAAUUUGGAAACAAUACAAAGAGAUAAUGAUGUAUUCACAGUUAAAUGUGUUGCUAUAUCAAUAGCCUUUAGCAGUCUCUUGGUGUUUUCACAGUGCAAAGCUUUACUCUAAAGCUGUCUGAUACAACAGCCUUCUCAAGUGUGUAUCUUGCAUACAAUAGUGAUUUAUCUCCCCCAGUAUGCAUAUUUGGGAGUCCAGACACAGUCCAGAAGGAGCCAAAAAAUACAAAUAUGACAGUAUCUUCAAAGAGCCUGGCAUUACAGAGGCAACAAGUUCUACAAGUGCAGCCUUCCUUCUACAUACACAGCAAUAGCAUUGCUCGGGUUCAGCUUUACCCAGACGUCCGUCGUCUGACACUGAUUUUCAUUAUGCAUUAUAAAGAGAUAAUCCUGCUUAUAUGCUCUGUCAAAGAGAUGGAGCUGCAUAUCAUCUGUAUACCGCUUCUGUUUAAGUUGCCUAAUAAAUAUUUCAGUGGUUUCAUGGA